rnacentral:pre_miRNA from 1 species
UAGGAAUCUAGUGGAAACACUUCCGUACAGACUAGAGUCUGCACACCAGUGUGCGGAAGUGCUUCUGCUACAUUUUUAGG